GGAGAGGUGGCUGAGUGGUCGAAAGCAGCGGUUUGCUAAACCGUCGUACUUCUACUAGAGGUACCGCGGGUUCGAAUCCCGCCCUCUCCGCCA
rnacentral:tRNA from 1 species